UACGUAAGGGGCAAGCGUUGUCCGGAAUCACUGGGCGUAAAGGGCGCGUAGGCGGUUCGUUAAGUCGGGAGUGAAAGCGCUGGGCCUAACCCAGCAACGGCUCUCGAGACUGGCGAGCUAGAGGGUCCUAGGGGAUUGUGGAAUUCCAGGUGUAGCGGUGAAAUGCGUAGAUAUCUGGGAGAACACCCGUGGCGAAGGCGGCAAUCUGGGGGAUACCUGACGCUGAGGCGCGAAAGCUAGGGGAGCGAACGGG
rnacentral:rRNA from 1 species